UUAUAGUCAUUCGACUUUUGGUUUCAGACAGCUUCUUCAAAAUGGUUAUGGGUUUUGGUGGGUGCCGUCGGCGGGCUGACCGCCCCCGCGCAGCGUGAGCCGCGCGGGGGUGUGCCGCCGAGGCAACAGGGGGUUUUCACAAAGGGUUGCCGACAGGAGGGUGGAUGGGCCGAGGCCCCCCGUUCCCAACCCGCCUAAUGCGCGGGGGCAUUGUGGCUUGUUUUGGUAAUGAUCCUUCCGCAGGUUCACCUACGGAAA
rnacentral:misc_RNA from 1 species